rnacentral:rRNA from 1 species
GACGAACGCUGGCGGCGUGCUUAACACAUGCAAGUCGAACGAAGAGCGAUGGAAGCUUGCUUCUAUCAAUCUUAGUGGCGAACGGGUGAGUAACGCGUAAUCAACCUGCCCUUCAGAGGGGGACAACAGUUGGAAACGACUGCUAAUACCGCAUACGAUCCAAUCUCGGCAUCGAGGAUGGAUGAAAGGUGGCCUCUAUUUAUAAGCUAUCACUGAAGGAGGGGAUUGCGUCUGAUUAGCUAGUUGGAGGGGUAACGGCCCACCAAGGCGAUGAUCAGUAGCCGGUCUGAGAGGAUGAGCGGCCACAUUGGGACUGAGACACGGCCCAGACUCCUACGGGAGGCAGCAGUGGGGAAUCUUCCGCAAUGGACGGAAGUCUGACGGAGCAACGCCGCGUGAGUGAUGACGGCCUUCGGGUUGUAAAGCUCUGUUAAUCGGGACGAAAGGUCCUCUUGCGAAUAGUUAGAGGAAUUGACGGUACCGGAAUAGAAAGCCACGGCUAACUACGUG